rnacentral:tRNA from 2 species
GGGGGGUUAGCUCAGUUUGGUAGAGCGCCUGAAUGGCAUUCAGGAGGUCGGGAGUUCGAACCUCCUACCCUCCACCA